UUGACCUCGAUCACGAAGAACUUGUCG
rnacentral:rRNA from 1 species